rnacentral:lncRNA from 1 species
AUCACUCUUCAAACCUCCUAACUAUCAGCAGAAGUUGUUAGAUUAAAAAGAAAAAGGGGCUGCUGUGACUGUAAAUGAAGUGCAACACAUGAAUGUAUUCCCCCUCGAGAAAUUCAAUAAACUAUUUUGCCAUCGAGUGCAUUAAGAUUUCAUCAUACAGUGAAAUCAUUCCUCUGAUUCUUUCCAGACUAGUGUCACCAACUGACAGCUACUUGAGAAUGAACAAAAGACACAUAGUUACUGCAUGUUUCAAGACCUCCUGUCUCUACAGAGGUUCACUGAGGGAUUUAUAGCUUGAUGAAAAUCAAAGGACUCGGAGCCAAAUGAGAACAGGUCUCUCAUGUAAGUGAUCUCUCUUGACAAUCAGUGGUUUCAUUAAUGAGGAAGUUUUGU